GCAUGCCAAGCUAUGUUUUAUGUACUCCUUCUGAUCCAUAAUAAGUGUCAGGAAUUUAGUACAAAGUUACUUUGUACUAAAUCCCCGGCACUUAUUAUGGAUCAGAGGGAGUAAGAAAAUAUUAACUUUGUACUAAAUCCC